ensembl:snoRNA
CUGCACUGUCUUUGAACCUAGUUGGUUUCAUGUGUGACCUCUUAGGCCAAGCUACAGUGCUAGAGAAAACUCAGGCUUGUUCAUAACUGGGGCCUCCUGGCAUCACCCCCAGGUUGCUCUUUUAAAAGCAAGUUACAUCU